CCCUUAGAUGUUCUGGGCCGCACGCGCGCUACACUGACGAAGUCAGCGAGCAUCUCCUACGCCGAAAGGUGCGGGGAAUCUUGUGAAACUUUGUCGUGCUGGGGAUUGAUUUUUGAAAUUCUUGAUCAUCAACGAGGAAUUCCUAGUAAGCGCAAGUCAGCAGCUUGCGUUGAUUACGUCCCUGCCCUUUGUACACACCGCCCGUCGCUACUACCGAUUGAAUGGUUUAGUGAGAUUUUUGGACUGGAACGCUCUUGUUCAGCAAUGAACGAGAGGGACUCUGGGAAGCUAUUCUAACUGUAUCAUUUAGAGGAAGUAAAAGUCGUAACA
rnacentral:rRNA from 1 species